rnacentral:lncRNA from 1 species
CACACACACACACGCACACACACUCCCAUGGUCUCUCUCUCUCUCUGACACGCACACUCCUCCCCCGAGGCCAGCCUGGGUGACUGCGAGUUUCCUGAGAAGCUGCCCACAACUGACUAAUCAUACUUCCCUCUAAUUGCCUUGUGGGUGUCUGUCUGCUCGGGGAGGGGAGCCACAGCCGGGAGGCUCUAGAGCCGCAGGGUCUCGAGGGUGACCCUGGGAAGAGAGGCUUCUGCAAUGAAAGGGACCUCCCAAGGGCAGGGAGUCCUCAGGCCCCGAGUGGGAGCACCCCGUGUGCCUCCUCCCUGCAGAGCCUGGGGUCGGAGUGGAGCCCUGGUCUCUGGGCCGCAGGAUUGUGGUUUUGGCCCAGAGGCUGCUGUCAUCCGUCCUGGGCUGUUCCCUGUGGGCUUGGCAGCUGCCCGUAGCUCUGCUUCAGACCCUGGUUGGUUUUCCCUCAGAAUCGAGUCAAUGGCAGGCGUCCCUCCGCAGGAAGGAGACGUCGUCUGCCAAAGCCGCCUCCCCGAGGCCCUCCCCAGAGCUCGCUCCCUGCUGAGAAGCCACCAGUGUCACCUCCCUCCCCAGACAGGAGGACAGGCUCAAGGGUGGAGAGCCAUGUGCCAGUGGGGCCGCCAGCCCAGGCUCCUGAUCUGAGGCCCCAGAGACCAGGGGCUGUGUGCUGAGACCUGGUCACUCCGGCGGAGACCCCCUGAGAACGUGGCGGGUGUUGCAGGGUGGCCUCCGUCCUGCGAGGGCCAUCCCAGCUUGGAGACCCUCUCCCUAGCCCCAAAACUUAGCCAACAGGCUCAGGGUGCUGGCCUGCCGCCCAGCCUUGCUGUGUGACUUCACGCCAUUCUCAACCUCUCUGAACUUUGAUUUCCACACCUAUAAACAGAACCAGCAAUAGCGCCAAUGCUCCUCCCGUUGCUCAUACCGGGCCCACUGAGCAGGCCCUGAACCAGUGGCCUCCAGUGUUGUCGUGGGAAAGGAUUUCCUUUACCUGUCCCCCUGUCCCUUGGGUCUCGCUCUCGCUUCUCAUGCGCGUGGCAGCUCAGCUCACAGAAGGGCCGAGAGCUUGCGGCCAGGCGUGCAGGUGGGAUGCUGAACGCCCAGCAGCCUUCAUCUGGGGCCUUGGUGAAGCCCAGCCGCUCCCAAGGGGCCCCAAGCCUGGCUGGAGGAGGGGAGUGACUUGAAACUGGUCCCUCAGAUGCAGGACGGGAGUCACAGGACAGGCGGGCCCAAGCCUUGUGGGCCUUUUCCGUGUCCUGGGGGUUCUUUGGGAAGGGACCAGGGGAAGAUGGGAGAUGACCUUUGGAGCAGGCCUGCUCUGCGCCUGGCCACUGGGAGCCUCGUGCUCAGCCAGGCUAGGCUGUGGGGUUCCUGUCCCCCGCCCACCCCCAUCCCUCGCCUGACCUUGGCACAGCCCGAUGCCUCCAGAACUGCUUCCCCUCCUAAAGGUCUCCCUGCCCCCCACCCCUGGCACCUGCCCCAGGAGCUCCACCAGGUGGAAGACGAGCCCUUUCUGCCCGAGGAGGCCCCUUGUCCCGUGCUGGGCCCAGUAGGGCAGGGUGAGCUCGACAGGGGUUGGGGGUGGGUGCCAGCCAGUAGCUGCUUAUCCGGGCGGGGGACGGGGGCUGGGGGCAGAGAGAGAGAGCAGGUUGGCUGUGUCUCUCUGGGAGGCCCCCACCAUCCAGGCCCCUGGCCAGAGACCCACAGCUGCCCGGCGGCCGGCCCUGGUGGGAGAUGCUGGCUUCCCGCCCCCACCGCUGGCUGGCGGCUGCUUCUCGGGUCCCUGGGGAGCGAGGCAGGAGGCAAAGCUGGGCUGAGCGCCAUGGCUUAGGUGGAGCCCCCCCCCCGGCCCCCCCAGGGGCGGGCUGGCUGCUGAUGGAUGGUAAUGAGACCCGCGGAGUCUGAUGAAGUUCAUUUUUCACCUGCCCGCGUUUUCGCCUCCCUGCUCUCCCAAGGCAGCGGGUAAUCCAUCCUGGAGCCCUUCGGAGGCCUCGGCAGUAAUGAGGUCAUAGAUCACUCCCUUGUGGAGACAGAGCCGGACAGGAGCCAUUAAGGAUGACCACCCGUGACCCCCGGGCCAGGCCGGCUCCAGCUCCGGCUCCAGGUCCAGACGGGGGUCUGCCACGCCCUGAACGGGGGCGAGGAGGGGAAAGGCUGCCCUUUGCUCAGGGUCUCUGUGUGACAGGUUGGGGCUGACAGGAUGCCAGCUUGGAAGCCAGCCCACCUCCCAGUCUGUUUAACUGUGGGGACUGCAGGUGGCAUGCUUCACGUGGGCUCUGCCCCUGUCCGCUCUGCCGUGCGGCCUGCAGAGAGGGAAGUGACAGCAGGUGCCCUGGGCCCCCCUCUUAACAGCCCUGUGCCCCCAAACCCUAGCGGCGGUAGAUGCCAAAGCAGGAGGAGCCCUCUCCUGCCUGGCUCAAACCCCAGCCUCCACAUCUUCCCCGCUGUUGCCUCAGUUUGCUCAUGUGUGAAAUGGGAUAAUAACUGGAACUGGAGCUCUGUGGCCGUAAGACGCGCUGCAAAUGGCACGCACUUUUGAUGGCCCUGGGGCCAGAGCGCUGUGGAAAUGACAUGUGUUACUGUUCAUUGCUGGCAGCAGCCACAGCGGCAGUGUUGGCUCACAGCACAGGCUCGGAUCCGUCUGUGUGACCUUUGAGCACACGCUUACCCUCUCUGGGCCUCAAUUUCUCCACUGUAAAAUGAUGAGAGGAUUGGACAGGUGUACUUGUGAGAAGCCUUGGAAGGGAGACUCUGUGGAGUCCGUGCUCAGGAGAGGCUGGCUCUGGCUAUGGGGGCUGGAAGCAGCUCCCCAACCUGUCGCUCCUACAGUCGGAGAGGGGGGCGCUCAGGGCCCCUUGAUGUCCGCAGGGACCUUACUGGGGUGUCCCCGCUUCUGUCUGACAACCUGGUCUCUCAAGGUGGCUUUUCUGGCCCAGAACCUGGCAGGUGCUGCAUGCGGGCUCCCUGGGGCCAGUACCGGGGACACGGGGCCUGAGGAGGGGGCAGCUCCCCGGCCCCUGAGGACCACCCCACCCUCCAGGCCCUGCCCAGUCCCAGCCCCGCUGGUUUCCCUUCCUGGUGCCCAGCUUCCUCUGCACCCACCUGUCACCCACCCACUUGAGCCCCUCCUGUGGCCCCUCCUCUCCUGGGCCUGCCGGGGCCUCGCUCUUCCCGCCGCCGCCUGGAACACCCGAGGUCCAGCACUCAGCAUGAGUGGCCCCCUCCCCCUUCAGGCUCCAGCUCCCACGCCACCUCCUCCAGGAAGCCCUCCCGGGUCACCUGAUUGCCUCCCCUCAGGUCCCUCAUUCUCAGAUGUCUUGGUUUGCCUUCUUCCUCAUACUCGGCACCAGUCACUCCAGAUUGUCUUGUUCAUUGGUUUCUGUGGGUUUUUAAUCUCCUUUGGCUGGAACGUCCUAUCCGGGGAGCUUGUCUGUGUCUUUUGCUCGCUGUGUGUCCUGAACGUAGGGGAGCGCCCGGCAUAUAGUAGGGGCUCAGUAAACCUAAUCGGCCGCACAGACGGCUGGACGGAAGGAUGGAUGGCUGGAUGAAGGAGGAGGGCGGGGAGGAUGCUAGGAGUGGGUGGAAGAAGAGAACAGAGGAUGGCAGACAACGCUCAGGCAUCUUUCCUUCCCCCAUCCAGUCCUGCCCGUUGACAGAAACAGCGGGAGAUGCUGGGGCUGCGUGCUGCCUUGUGACAGGGUGGGUGAGAAGAUGGGUUAGAUGAAGCACCUCCAGGCAAAGUCACAAGUGUGUCACAAAUUCUAAAAGGUGGAGAAAAUCUCCGUGACAUCGGUGACAUCGAGGGCCCUCUCGGGACCUUGGAGUGGCUGUCACUGAUCAAGAAAGGGAACCAGGGAGUUCCCACUGUGGUGGGGCAGGUUAAGGAUUCGGCAUCGUCUCUGUGGCUGUGCGGGUUUGAUGCCUGGCCCGGGAACUUCCACAUGCUGUGGACCCAACGAAAAUACAAAUUUUAAACAUUUAAAAAGAGAAAGGUAACAGUCCUGAGGCCUCCCAGCCAGGGGCUGGGGACAGAGGUGCCCAGCGCCCAGCACCAGUCUGGGCCCACCUGGCAUCAUCCAGAGCUGUGUGGUUGGGCAGAACUCCAGGGAGCUGCCCAGCUCCUACCAGGCUGCAGGUUGGGACCUCGAUGCGGGGAGCAAGCGUAUUUGCAUCCGAUUUGCAUGCAGGUGGGGCAGGCCUUGCCCUUCAGAGCUCCUCAGGUGGUCCUGUCACUGCUUUUCCUCCUGCACCUCACCCACCCUUUGUCCCUGUCCCCGUCACCCUAGAACGGGGAGGAGGUUCUACUGGCCGAGCCUCCAGGGCUUCCCCUUCUGUGUAAAUAAGAAUAGCCCUCGUUGUGAAGAACCUGGCUAGUGUCUGGGAGGACGUGGGUUCGAUCCCUGGCCUCACUCAGUGGGUUAAGGAUCUGGCGUUGCCUUGAGCUGCAGCAUAGGUCGCGGAUGCAGCUCGGAUCCCGCAUUGCCGUGGUUGUGGCGUAGGCGGGCAGCUGCAGCUCUGAUUCGAUCCCUAGCCUAGGGUCGGAGCCCCUCCAGCUGAAGCCCCCUACCUGUCCUAAGCCACUGAAUUGGCACCAAAGCCCGGGGAGGAGGUGUGGCUGUUGCCCCAUUUCACGGAGGAGCAAACCGAGCCCCAGAGAAGGACAUCACUUAGCAGCAGCCACGUGGGGGGCGGGGUAGGCCCGAGCUUAGCGCUUUGUGUGGCUCGUGGCGCUAAAGGGUCACCAAGACCCCCAGAGGGAGUUGGGCUCUUUGCCCGUUUCACCUGGGAGGCAGCGGAGGCCUGAGGAGGCCUGAGGAGGGACAGAGAGAACAGGCCUCUCUUGGGGACAAGCGGCCGUGCUUGGCAACAAGCUCCGAUCCCGUUCUCCCAUCAGGCUGCCGCGUCCAAGUUAUUUGAUGUAUUUCCGUGUCCCCAGGCCCCAGACCAUUGCCGGGCGUAGUAAGUGCUCAAUAAAGCCUGAACGCCUGUCGCUUUGUGACACGGCAGGCAGGGCUCUGCCAGCGCAGGCAGGGGGGACACCUUCACAUGACCGAAAGGGGGGGUGCCCAGCAGGAGAGAAGGACAGGGCUCUUUACAGCAGCGUCGGGGUCAGAUUCCCGCCGAGUGGGGGACCAGAGCCUCCUUUGAGCCCCGAUUCCGAGAGCCUGCUUUGUGUCCUGCUGUUUAACAGUGUGAUAGGUGAGGGUCAAGCUGUGGUCCCAUAACUUGCUGGAAGACAUUUCGGAACAAUAAAGGUGUCUGGCUUUAUAUCUGCUCGUAUUUUAUCCUUGCUUGAGCCUCUCCUGCUUGCUUGCUUUGGAUUUACCGUGAGAAUAUUUUAAAACGGCUCAAGCUUGGCCGCCAGCGCUCCCGCCGUGCCUGUCCCCGCCGCCCGCCCCCCCGGGGAGCCUGGCCCCCGGCCGGCCGAGCCCCCGCACUGGCCUCCGGCUGCUGAAAUAUUUACCUGCAGGCUCCUCUGACAGCUGGAGCCGCCCCCUGAAGCAAAGGUUAUGGGACCGCGAACGCUAUGACAUGACAUUCUGUGUCUGCGCUCCUGGGAUGCGCGAUGCUGGCAGCAUGGCAAGGGCCGGGCAGAGGGCGGGCGCUGUAGGAAUUGAUAGCAGCCGCUCUGUCACUGUGGUGCCCCGGGAGUGCACAGAACAAGGGCACCAGCCUCCCCAGCUGGGGCUGCUUCAAGGGUUUGGGGCUGUCAGCCCAUUGCGUUCUGGCGGGGCAGGGACCGAGCCAGACCAACCCGCAGCCGCUGGCGCUGCCCAGGGCAUAGGGCAUCCUGGGCCCGCGCUGAACGCCUGGGGUGUCUGGCUGCGCCGCACGCACGGCCGCCCUGGGAGGCUGCUGCUUUGAUCCCUUUUGUUGUUGAAGGGGCCGAGGCACAGAGACAGAGGGACACGCUGUCUCCCUGUCUCGGGGUGGCUGUAGCAGAGGGCCACAGCCUGGGCAGCUUCAAGCAGCAGGAGUGUACCCUCCUGCAGUCCUGGAGGCCAAGAUCAAGGGGCCGGCAGGGCUGUGAUCCCCGAAGAAGGCUCUCGGGGAGCGUCCCUCCUUGUCUCUUCUGGCUCCUGGCGGUUCCGGCUGUCCUUGGCGCCACUUGGCUCGUGGCCGCCUCCUCCAGCUUCUGGCUCUGCUGUCACAUGACCGCCCUCCCUGUGUGUGUGUGUGUGUGUCCAGGCUCCCCUCUUCUUUUCCGGACUCCAGACCUUGGCUGAGGGUCCACGCUGUUCCACGACGCCUCGUUUUAACAUCUGCAAAGGUCCGCCUGCCAUGAGGGAUCACCCUCGCAGGUUCCCGGUGGAUGGGAAUUUGGGGGGACACCAUUCACCCCAGUUCAUGUGCCUGGGGUGUCUCCAUCACCUGUUCGGCACCCACUGGCCGAACUCCCAGAGCCCCGUGAUUCAGAGUCUCAGCUGCCGCCCCAGGCAGGAGGGUGACAUCCCACCAAGAAAGAAAGGCAUUCCUGAUCGAGUCUGCAACCCCUGUCCUUCCCAGGACCCCUCCUCUCCCAGGGUCCCCAGCAGGACCGCUCCCUGUGGCCCCUCGUUGCCCCCCACCCCAUCUCACCACUCCACGUCCGCCCUUCCCAAAGCCGCUCACGGACAGACCCCUGGCCCACAAAUCCUUGUCCCUGGGCUCUGCUUCUGGGAGAACACAAAUGAAGACAGUAAAAAUAACAGACCAGCCAAUGCACACAUCACUGACUCUGUCUGAAGCACCUGGCGCUCUUGAUGCCCACGGCCGCCCCGGGGGCAGGGCCGCCAGAUUUAGAAAGGAAAACGAAACAGGACACUCGGUUAAAUUUCAACUUCAGAUAAACAACAAAUACCUUUUUGUACAAGUGUAUCUCCCAUGUCAGGGUGCCCGUGUGGCUCUGCAGCUUAAGGAUCUGGCCUUGUCACUGCCUGGGCUCAGGUCAUUGCUGUGGCACAGGUUCAAUUCCUUGCUCAGGAACUUCCCCAUGCCAUGGGCGUGGCCAAAAAAAAAGUGUCCCGUGUCGUCUUUGGGAUAUGCUUAUGCUCAAAAAUGUAUUCAUUGCUUAGGGCUGGGGGGCGAAAUGGAAGUGACUGCUAACGGGUCCGGGGUUUCUUUCUGGAGUUGUGAAGAUAUUCUAAAUGGAUUUUGGCGACAGUGGCCCAGCUCUGUGCAUACACUAGAAACUAGUGUCUCGGGCAUGGUACGUGAAUGAUGCCUUAAGCCGUUAUAUUUGAAAUCUUUUUCCUGGAAUUCCCAUCGUGGCUCAGAGGAAACGGAUCUGACGGGUAUCCAUGAGGACGCAGGUUCGAUCCCUGGCUUCGCUUAGUGGGUUAAGGAUCUGGCAUUGCCAUGAGCUGUGGUGUAGGUCGCAGACGUGGCUCGGAUCUGGUGUUGCUGUGGCUGUGGUGUCGGCCAGUGACUACAGCUCCAAUUGGACCUCCAUAUGCCACAGGUGUGGCCCUAAAUAGACAAAACAAAACAAAACAAAACAAAACAAAAAAAAAAA